rnacentral:rRNA from 1 species
UACGUAGGGUGCGAGCGUUAAUCGGAAUUACUGGGCGUAAAGCGUGCGCAGGCGGUUUCUUAAGUCAGAUGUGAAAGCCCCGGGCUUAACCCGGGAAUUGCAUUUGAUACUGUUAGGCUUGAGACCGGGAGAGGAUAGCGGAAUUCCCAGUGUAGAGGUGAAAUUCGUAGAUAUUGGGAAGAACACCAGUGGCGAAGGCGGCUAUCUGGACCGGUACUGACGCUGAGGUGCGAAAGCGUGGGGAGCAAACAGG